rnacentral:rRNA from 1 species
CCCAUAGCGUAUAUUAAAGUUGUUGCAGUUAAAAAGCUCGUAGUUGAAUUUCGGGGUUAGUAGGUUGGUCAUGCCUCUGGUAUGUACUGGUCUCACUGAUUCCUCCUUCCUGAUGAGCCGUAAUGCCAUUAAUUUGGUGUUGCGGGGAAUUUGGACUGUUACUUUGAAAAAAUUAGAGUGUUUAAAGCAAGCUAACGCUUGAAUACAUUAGCAUGGAAUAAUGAAAUAGGACGUUCGAUCCUAUUUUGUUGGUUUCUAGGAUUGACGUAAUGAUUAAUA